CACGUAGGAGGCAAGCGUUAUUCGGAUUUACUGGGCGUAAAGCGCGUGUAGGCGGUUUGGAGAGUUGGAUGUGAAAGCUCCUGGCUUAACUGGGAGAGGCCGUUCAAUACUUCCGGACUUGAGGAUGGUAGAGGAAGAUGGAAUUCCGAGUGUAGUGGUGAAAUGCGCAGAUAUUCGGAGGAACACCAGUGGCGAAAGCGAUCUUCUAGACCAUAACUGACGCUCAGACGCGAAAGCUAGGGUAGCAAACGGG
rnacentral:rRNA from 1 species